CCCGGGAGGCGAAGGGUUCCUUCCCCAAAUGCUUCAGUCAGGGGGGUUUGGGCACAGCAGCUCAGCCCUCUGGCCCCCCGCUGGUAGCUCAGCCCACAGCAGUGCUCAGGAGGUGCUGCGGCUGGGCCUGCAAACUUUUAGCACUGCAGCCUGCGGUGUCCUUAAAAGUGUUUUUACCAGACCGCUAUCUGAGUGCUGUGGGAGAUCGUAAAACUGCGCUGAGGCUGUGAGUGGGGGCCCAGAGCCUGUGCAGGUCCCCUGACAGGACGAGGAAGGGGAAGAUGUUGCAGUCAGGAGGCUGCUGUGCCUGCUCAGAUUCUUCAGACAGUGGAAAGAGAGAGGAGAGAAGGAGACAAUGAAGUUGUCAAGACACAGAGCGAGGCUGGCGUCUGACACACGCGUUGUUAAAACUGACCAUCAGAGCUUCCCAGAACAGGCUUCCCCUGCGAAUGGCCCUGCUCAACGUGCUGCAUUAGUGCUGGCAGAAGCAGGGCAGUGAUUCAUCACUGCCGUGGCUGUGGCUGUGGAAGCGGUGAGGAGGCCUUGGGACGUCUGUUCUGCACCUGAUGAGUCACUUCUGCGCGUGUGGCUGGCAGAGAUGGGCUCUCCGGUUGUACUCUGCAGUGGGAGCGUUACCUGCUUCAUCACCGCUUUGUCUGAACCCCUGCUUAUGCAGCGUCCACAGAAGGCAUAAGGAGCUGGGUUUCGUAAGCUCUGUGGCAUAUGAGCACAGUCUUACUUACCCCAUGGUGAAAGAGCCUGCGGCUGCCCUGCAAAAUGCAAAGAGGACGUUUGCAGCUACCUCAGCCUAAUGUUAACUGUGUCUUGGAGACCAGCUCUAUUUUCCAUUGUAUCUGCUUGUGACUUGCCUUAUUUGGCUUGUUUUAGUGAAACGCACGUGCACACCUCCCACCACUGUGCUGGUUCAGCUCAGCUGCUUGAUAAACAUAGCUCCAGCGGCUAGAUUUGUCUUUAUUUAGUUAGUGGUGGCU